CCCUUAGACGCUCUAGGCGGCACACGCGCUACAAUGGGUGGUAGAACGUGUAACUGCUCCCGAAAGGGAGGGUGAACCACGAAUACUUACCCGUGAAUGGGAUAGUUUGUUGCAAUUUUCGGACUUGAACUAGGAAUCCCUUGUAAGAAUGCUCAAGAAUAGCGUGCUGAAUACGUCCCUGCCGUUUGUACACACCGCCCGUCGUUUCUUCCGACUGAUACUCAUUGUGAGUUGCAAGGAUUCUUAUUGAAAAAUUGCUGCGAAUGCUUUGUAUUGGAGGAAGAAAAAGUCGUAACA
rnacentral:rRNA from 1 species